AUUGAACGCUGGCGGCAGGCCUAACACAUGCAAGUCGAACGAGUGGCGGACGGGUGAGUAAUGUCUGGGACUAUGCCUGAUGGAGGGGGAUAACUACUGGAAACGGUCGCUAAUACCGUAUACUAUCAGAUGUGCCCAGAUGGGAUUCGCUUGUUGGUGGGGUAACGGCGCACCAAGGCGACGAUCCCUAGCGGGUCUGAGAGGAUGACCAGCCACACUGGAACUGAGACACGGUCCAGACUCCUACGGGAGGCAGCAGUGGGGAAUAUUGCACAAUGGGCGAAAGCCUUAUGCAGCCAUGCCGCGUGUAUGAAGAAGGCCUUCGGGUUGUAAAGUACUUUCAGCCGGGAGGCGUUACCCGCAGAAGAAGCACCGGCUAACUCCGUGCCAGCAGCCGCGGUAAUAC
rnacentral:rRNA from 1 species